AAUCAACGCUGGCGGCGUGCCUAACACAUGCAAGUCGCGCGCGAAAAGGGGGGGCGAACUCCCCAACGUAGAGCGACGAACGGGUGAGUAACGCGUGGGUGAUCUACCUUCGAGUGGGGAAGUAACACCGGGAAACUGGUGCUAAUACCGCAUGACAUCCCUGGUUCAUUCUGGGGAUCAAAGCCGGGGACCGCAAGGCCUGGCGCUUGAAGAGGAGCCCGCGUCCGAUUAGCUAGUUGGCGGGGAACGGCCCACCAAGGCUCCGAUCGGUAGCCGGCCUGAGAGGGCGGACGGCCACACUGGGACUGAGACACGGCCCAGACUCCUACGGGAGGGCAGCAGUGGGGAAUUUUUCGCAAUGGGGGAAACCCUGACGAAGCAACGCCGCGUGGAGGAUGAAGGCCUUCGGUCGUAACU
rnacentral:rRNA from 1 species